CACACACACACCCCUCCUUUCCAAAUAGCAUCAUUUGACAGGGGAAAAAGUUCACACCUCUGAGCUAUCUAGCAAAUGCUGAGCUCUUCCAACAUUGUUUUAUCCAAAAUCAACAAAAGACCUAACACAAAUGGAGUAUUUCGAUGACCCUGAUUCUGACCACAUUUUACAUCAGUUCAGGGGUAACCUUUGCUGUUGACCAGGCCUGCCAGAACUUCAUCGGACUCCUUUUCAAACGGACUCCAGUCUCGCUAUGGAUGCCUCUUCCUCUGCACGCCAUAGAUGUCGUCACCCAUCUGUGUGACAUUCAUUUAACGCAGAGUGAUACAAGUAAAAAGAUUUAAUUAUUCGAGCAAUAAUGCGACCAACUUUUGAAGACGGUGGCGUACACGCGGAUCCGACUGCAGUGCUCCCUUCAAUAGAUACCAGUCUAGCCACGGAUGCUUUAUAGGAAUUAUUACCCCUCUGGGUAAUAAUUAACGCAGAGUGAUACAGGUGAAAAUAGCCAAAUGCGGGAGCAGUACGGUGCGACAUGUUAGUUUUGUAGUGUGCAUUUUGUGUUUAGCAUUUUUAAAAAUGCUAAUUAAAAAAAAAAAAAAUUAAAAAAUCUAUUCAAAACCAGGCAACAAGUGUAGAAGUAAUUGAAUGUUUUAACUCUUUAAAAGUUGCACCAAAGGAUAAAAACAAAUAUCAUAGUUUGUAUUAUCAGGAUGAAUCAACCAAUUAUGCAUGCAUUACGCAAUUACCUUCACCUUCACCUUCUUCUACCGCUUA